rnacentral:rRNA from 1 species
GUCGGGGGCAAGCGUUGUCCGGAUUUACUGGGCGUCAAGAGCGUGUAGGCGGCCACGCAGGUCCGUUGUGAAAACUGGAGGCUCAACCUUCAGACGUCGACGGAAACCGUGUGGCUAGAGUCCGGAAGAGGAGAGUGGAAUUCCUGGUGUAGCGGUGAAAUGCGCAGAUAUCAGGAAGAACACCAAUGGCGAAGGCAGCUCUCUGGGACGGUACUGACGCUGAGACGCGAAAGCGUGGGGAGCGAACAGG